rnacentral:rRNA from 1 species
UGGGGAAUAUUGGGCAAUGGGCGCAAGCCUGACCCAGCAACGCCGCGUGAAGGAAGAAGGCUUUCGGGUUGUAAACUUCUUUUCUCAGGGACGAAUAGAUGACGGUACCUGAGGAAUAAGCCACGGCUAACUACGUGCCAGCAGCCGCGGUAAUACGUAGGUGGCAAGCGUUAUCCGGAUUUACUGGGUGUAAAGGGCGUGUAGGCGGGACUGCAAGUCAGAUGUGAAAACUCAGGGCUCAACCCUGAGCCUGCAUUUGAAACUGUAGUUCUUGAGUACUGGAGAGGCAGACGGAAUUCCUAGUGUAGCGGUGAAAUGCGUAGAUAUUAGGAGGAACACCAGUGGCGAAGGCGGUCUGCUGGACAGCAACUGACGCUGAGGCGCGAAAGCGUGGGGAGCAAACAGG